GAUGAACGCUGGCGGCGUGCCUAAUACAUGCAGGUCGAGCGAACGGACGAGAAGCUUGCUUCUCUGACGUUAGCGGCGGACGGGUGAGUAACACGUGGAUAACCUACCUAUAAGACUGGGAUAACUUCGGGAAACCGGAGCUAAUACCGGAUGAUAUUUUGAACCGCAUGGUUCAAUAGUGAAAGACGGUUUUGCUGUCACUUAUAGAUGGAUCCGCGCUGCAUUAGCUAGUUGGUAAGGUAACGGCUUACCAAGGCAACGAUGCAUAGCCGACCUGAGAGGGUGAUCGGCCACACUGGAACUGAGACACGGUCCAGACUCCUACGGGAGGCAGCAGUAGGGAAUCUUCCGCAAUGGGCGAAAGCCUGACGGAGCAACGCCGCGUGAGUGAUGAAGGUCUUCGGAUCGUAAAACUCUGUUAUUAGGGAAGAACAAAUGUGUAAGUAACUAUGCACGUCUUGACGGUACCUAAUCAGAAAGCCACGGCUAACUACGUG
rnacentral:rRNA from 1 species